AUACGGAGGGUGCGAGCGUUAAUCGGAAUUACUGGGCGUAAAGCGCGCGUAGGCGGUUUGUUAAGUCGGAUGUGAAAUCCCCGGGCUCAACCUGGGACCUGCAUCCGAUACUGGCAGGCUAGAGUCUGGUAGAGGGGGGUAGAAUUCCUGGUGUAGCGGUGAAAUGCGUAGAUAUCAGGGGGAAUACCAGUGGCGAAGGCGGCCCCCUGGACUGAGACUGACGCUGAGGUGCGAAAGCGUGGGGAGCAAACAGGAUUAGAAACCCUAGUAGUCC
rnacentral:rRNA from 1 species